CUUGGCCUAGUAAGGAAGCAAUACAGGCACCGAUGUGCACCAACGGCCCUUCUUUUCCUAGAUCUAGGCCUGCAGAGACAGCUCCAAUGCUUCCAAUGAUCUGUAACAUAAAAGAGUUAAAGACCACAAACUGAGGGACAGUCAACCACCGCGAGAAGCUUGUAGCCUGCAAUAUUCUCAAUUGCAAGAUUGAUAAGGGUGGCAAUAAUACCAGUUAGAAGCCCAACAAGGAAUGCCAGUGUCCAUUUCAAGAAUAUAUACUGCAACACUUGGGAUUUUGUUCUGCUUCUCCAAUCAUGCCUGAAGAGAUCAUUCUCAUUGAUCCUGCAUCAAAAACACUUCCUACUUACAUGAAGAAACAGAAACAUUAGAAUUCUCAGAACCAACGAAGACAGGAUGAUGAUUUUCUUACUCGUAAUCCAAGCUCUCAAUAUAAGAAACCUUUGCUCCAACCAUGGCUAGUGGAGUGGAGGAAAGUGUUCGGCUUCUUUUGAGGAGUGGCUGGUGUAAGGUAUUGCUCUCUGGGUCUCUUUCCUCUUCAUCUUCUUGUCCUUCCAUGUUGUGGGUUGUUUCUUCUGCAAAUUGGCUCGAGUCUUCCUCCAUCGAGGGAAUCUCAGCAGCAGCGGAGGGAAAUUCAGGUGGUCUUGUUGGAUAUUAAUGGUUCUAGUCUGCAAUACAGAGAAGCUAAGCCGCCUUAGCUGGUCUUAAAAUUCAAAACUAGAUGGAGCUGAAACAUGCUCUUUAUAUAUCCAUACUUGUCUUGUUAUAAUAACAUCCACUUGUUUACUUUUGCUAUCAUAAAAGUGACAUUACUUUUGAUUCUAA